rnacentral:lncRNA from 1 species
CAAAAAGCAUCAGUGAACCAACAACAUCAAACAACAGCAGCUCCCAAAUUGACCUUUAGCAAACAACCAGCCAAAACCCGACCAAAAUCCAUCAACUUCGCGACCCGACCCAUCAUCCUUAAACCAAAAUUUGGCGAAAAAAAUCUUCCCAACGUCGACCCAACUUCGACCCGCCUGGAUGGCUUGUUUGUUACAAAAAUUCAAGAAAGUUUUUAGAAAUGGGUGAGCUGGCUCACCCCAAUGUUCCAAUCUCGUGAAUCUCGGAUGAGGUUGUACGAUUUCGUACAUAGGUGAGAAAUUUUCAUUGGCUUGUGAAGAUGAUUCCAUUUUCCUAAAUUUCUAUUGGCCAUUUUUGAAAAUCCAUUCAAGAAAAUCAUCAAAGGGGUACAAUUUGUUAGCAUUCUCAUCUUUUGAAUUCAAAAGAUGAACCCUCAAACCCCUUCUAUAAGUAGCUCUCUUUAGAGCAAGAAAGAGGGAUUUUCUUUUGGGGUCUCUUCUUUCCCUUAUGGUUUCGAAAUUUUAGAAAAAAAAAGAGGGAGAGAAAUUCUUGGGUCGGGAAAAAUUUUGGUUGGGAGAAAAGAGGAGAUGAAGAGAGUUUUGAAAACAAAAUAAUUUAUUUUUGUAAAAAUUUUGUUUUUCGUUCUUCUUUCUGGGAAGAUAGUUGAUCAAUCGGAAGUUCCUGAGUCGAUAACAUCAACUCCCGGCGGUGACAGUUCUACUGAUAGCUCAUCGUCCCGUUUGCUGUCCUUAAAGAGGUAAAUACACUCUGUUUUCUCCUUAAUUUGACCGCUUUUCUUCUUCGUCUCUUCUUCUUCGUAGUUGAUGUAGUCGUAAUUAUUCUAUUCUGGGAAUUGCUUGUUGUAGGAAGCCUUACAGUCCAUAGGACUUUGUGGGAAAUAAUUUGCAGUAGUUCCAUGUGUUUCAUCGUUUAUUUGGUGUUUGUGAUUUAUAUUUGAACGAGUUAAUUAGUGUAUGUUAAGACUAUUUUAUUGAACUUCCGGAUCUAUUUUUGUUGUUUAUUGCGGGUAUAGAAGUUAAUCCAGUAGUUUCCUUUUGCUAAUUUUUUUUCUUUUCCUUUCCUUUCGGAAUAGUUGUAUUAUUCUUGCCCCUCUUUGAUUUACUUUAAGAUCCAUAAGGUUAGGAGUUUUGUAUUUUUUUUUGUAUUUAGCAUAAUGUCAAUGUUCUGCCUAAGGUCAUCUUUUCCCUCAUUUGUGUUGUUAUCUGCUAGAGAAGUCAAAAAUAGGACAAUAUCGACUUUGCAUGCUAUAUGCGUGGUAAAUUGUCUAAUUAAUGUGCCUGCUCUAUGGGAUAUAUUGCUACUCUUCAUACAUACAUGAUAAUAUUUUGUUUCUAUUUUAGGUCGACUGAUUUUAAACCAUAGUAGUAGUUAGACAAGGGGAGGAAGUGCACUGUAUCAUCUGUGUUCUGUGCAUCUUGAAAACAUUUCAUAUUCACAGUGUGUAAUCAUAUUAUCCCUUGUAGAUGCUCCUUUAAUUAUUUCCCCUUUGAUUAUUUAACUGUUUAAUCAUUUUAAAUGAUUUUAUGUUAAAACGUUAGUAUAUUUCCUUCUCCUACCAUUUUAGUUUGUUUACAUGUUUUUUCUUUGUAUUAAUUCGUCAAUGGUUAUGAACCUUUAUUGAAGUUCUAAUUUUUGUUGUACUACCAUCUCAAAAUAAAUUGUUCGAAAUCAAUUUUCUAAGUCCAUUGGUUUCGAACAUAUUUACUUUGGGGUUUCUUCAAUCGAAUACAUUUUCUUUUCUUCUAAUGUUUGCUCAAAAAUUUUGUACUUCCUCAACCAUUUUCAUCUCUGCUCAUAUAUAUGUAAAGGUUAUGCACGUAUACCGCGAAUAAAUUAAUAUGCUUGCUGAAUUUGUAUGUGUGGGUGAAUUCCCUCUUGCCUUUAGUCUCAGUAAAAUAUUCAUAUUGGUUCAAGUUUUUUUUUUUUUUUAAAACUGUUACUACGAAAUAUUGGUGGGAAUAGUAGACUCAUCAUAUUCUAAUACUUUUUCUUUAUUUAAAAUGUCAAGAUUUUAUAUUGAUUAUGAAAUUUUGGUACUGUUAGAUUUUGAAUGAUCAACUGUGUAAACUUCUCACAUUUUAAAUAGAGAUUUGCAAACAGUGAAUUGAAUGUUUCCUUUUAGAGUUGUUUUGCAUGUAUACAUAUGUUGGAACCCUACAAAGUUGGUUUUAAACCUUGUCUUUAUGCUAAAAUCAAUUUUUUUUCUUGUUUUUUCUUAUAUACUGAUGACAGUCAUAUUUACCUGAAUUUACUAUGUUGUGUAUGCAUGUUUUACUUGCCCUUUCCAUGUUUUGACUUAUUGACUUUUAUUUUGUUUUGGACCAUCACGGUUUUAUUUUAUCUAUCGCUCUAUUAUGUUGUUUAUCUAUGUAGUAUUUGAUAUUUUGAAUGCGUAUUGAUCUCUUUUAUUUCGAUUCCAAAAUAUUAAAUCCAAGAAUCCUCCACCUAGCAUAUGGACGUAAGGAGUCGAAAGAAGAAAAAAAUGGGUUGAAAUUUCAUAUUCGAAGUGACGAAGAGACUCAGGAGUCUCACUUUCCUUUCUUGUCAUUUUAUUUACAUAUUUAUUUGUCCUAUUCUAUUUACUUAUCUAUUUAUUUCUUUAUUCAUUUAUUUGGGCCACGAAGCCAAAAUUUUAAAACUAAUAUAGGUGGAGCAAGAUUCGAGCCAAAGGCUCGAAAACUAGACUAGGACAGGUGAAAUGGGUCGAAAGCCCAAUUAGACUAGGACAUGUCUUAUUGAUUUGGGCCCAAAGGCCCAAAUCCCUUACUUCCUACCCUUCCCCUCUUCUUUAUGCUUGAUUUUCUUGUGUGUUUUGCGAACCUAGUUAAUUCCUUAAGUCUAAGUCGCUAAAAAUUGAUUUUGCAUAAACACCAAAAUAUUUUUAAAAUUGCUUUGUUUCCAAAAAAUUAAUCUUUUUGAAGUUAAUCAAAAGACGAUUUUUCAAACAGUCCAGAUAAUCGCAAGUUAGCGGACGUUUUAGGUGCCUAACACCUUCCUAAAACGUUAAUAGGAACCGCUUAUCUAGAAUCUCUAACUUAAAAUGAUUUUCAUGUUUUGAAUCAUUUGAAAGUAUUUUUAAAGGUUUCUUAAUUCCUUUUUAAAAUUAAGUGGCGACUCUUCUCAAAAAGUCAAAAUUUUCGCAAAACAGAAAUGACGACUCUGCUGGGGACCUUUAACUAGGUUCCAGCCAAAUGUUUGAUUUCAUCUUUUGAUUAUCUGUUUAUGUAUUUAUAUGUUUCGAUUCUGUAAAGUUUAACUAUCCCAUCUCAUGGCAAAUUCCUGCAUUAUUUAAACUGUUUUUGGGUUUCGUGGAUGUCCCGACCCUUGUUGUUCAAUUUCAAAAAUGUGUUGGAAAUACGAGCGGCUUAUUAGCACGUGAGUCAAUUGAUGGCUAUUCGUAUUUUCAAACUCAAGUUGUGCGAUUGAGAACCAGUGUUCAAACCCACUCUAGACACCUAGGAUAGAACAAAACUAAAACCUUAUUUUAGGCAUGAGCGUAGGACGACCCAAUACUCGAGCGGGGUAUUGGGCCCAUUAGGAAACCUUUCCUGCGUCUAUUGACCCCGAGUCAAUUAUAGAUGAAUCAUAUUUAUGUGUUGAAGAAAAUAUAUGCCUGUCUAAUUCAAUCCAUUAUCCUUUGGGGGUCGGAAAAAAGCUUGAUUUGCUUACUUUCAUAAGAAGAAUUGAAGCAAGUUAAGCAAGAAAUUGAUCGAUAUGGGAGGUUGCAUCUAAGGCACAAUUUGAACGUCAAUGGAUGUCACCAAUAUAAGAAAUGGACGAAGCUGCAAGCGCGAAGGCCGAUAGAAGAAGCAUUCAGUAAUUAGUAUCCCAUGUGUGGGACAUUAUUCACUUUCCCUAAAGAUUGUAUCCCUUUUAUGCAACUUUUGUAGACAUUUAUGUCAUUUAUGUAUACCUAUGAAGUUUUUAGGGGGAUAAUAGAUUGGAUUUUAAAAGACGUAUAUUUUCUUCAAAAUUUGUUAGGCCUAAACCCUUGGCUCAAAAGGAUCACCCAAUUAGGAUGCAUGUUUAUUACAAUAUACUUGUGUAAUAUAACUGUUUAUGUGCUAUACGUGUUAUGUUGAUUCAAAUCAAAGGUGAAUUGAUCCAAUCCCAUUUUCCAUAGAACAUCUCUAGGCAGAAAUAUAUCCCACUAUACAAAAGUCCGACCAAACGUACUCCAAGUCUCCCAAGUUUCUCAGAAAAUUCCGUAGUCAUUCUUAAAACUUCCAAAAUGAUCACUGCCAUUUUAGGAAAGUUGACUUUAGAAUCAGAAAAUGCCAUUAUAGUUUCGAACUACGUAGGGCCUGAUUUCUCCUUCAUGAGAUACGUAGGAAGCCUAUUGGCCCUGCCCAUAUCUCCAAAAGCUCUGUAGUCCUCCACUUUCUUGAAGAUAGAAGGAAAGUUGAACCUUCCCGACAAAUUCCACCUUAUCCAUAUCAUUGAGCAAAAUCCUGUUCAUUGAAAUCCUCGAGUCAUCAUUACUUCAUGGAUCAAUUCGCAUGAGAUGAGAAACAACUUUAUGUGUUUACUUCCAACCUUAUCAUCUUGCUUUACUUAUUACUAACGGAAUCUAACACGUCAUCCUUUGAGUUGUUUUUUACUUUGCAGGUAAUAAAAAAUACUCUAUUUUUGAACAAAAUGGCCCUACUUCACCAGAUCAAAACAAAUAAGAGAUCUCCUUAUUUACUAUAACUUUGUUACAAGAAAAGAAAAAUGACUAGUAGUAAAACUGGAAUCUACCAAUUAUUUUUCAACCUUGUAAGCGAUAGUUUCGAGGUUGGAAUAAUAAAAAUGUGAGGGAAGAAUUUUUCAAGACAACUGGGAUCAUAGAAGAUUAAUUGGAGAAAACAUUGUUGAAUUGGACCUCCACUCCACUCAUGACCCAUCCCCGUCGUAUAACAGUAACUUAAAACCUGCCAUUGUCAUGUCAUGUCAAGAAGCAAAAUAACGGUAUCCCUAGAACAGUCAACAGAAGAGUCAAAGAGUUCGAGAAUCAAAGAAUCCUAAUCUAGAGGAAACCGAGGAAGUUAACUAGGAAGGUGAUGACUCCAUUGGACAUUUGAUCCUUUGUUCUAUCAAGACAAACACAAUGUAAACAUCAUAUCAUCAAUAAAAGUACUUAUUUAUAUCCUAUUAAGAUGGAUAAGAGUAUUUUUAGGGCCAUUAUGAGUUUAUGUAUGAACUACAUUUGACCUGAAUUCCCAAGAACAGGAUACAUAGACGGCCUAUGUCGGCUUCGGUCAAACCCUUAGGAAAAUUUAUCCUUUCCCUUUAUGUACGAACUUUAUUUGACCUGAAUUUCCAAGAACGGGAUACGUAGGUGGCCUAUGUCGGCUUCGGUCAACCCCUUAGGAAAAUUUAUCCUUUCCUUCUAUGUAUGAACUACGUGAUGACCUGAAUUCUCAAGAAUGAGAUACGUAGGCGGCCUAUGUCGGCUUCGGUCAACCCAUUAGAUUUUCUAUAUAUCCGUAGCGUAUUCUUGAACUUUGUUUGACCUGAUUCCUGCUUCAACGGGAUACGUAGGUGCCCCAACGGAUCGGUCAUGUAACCCCAGGAAAUAGAAACAGGGGAAGAAUUUUCGAGAAGGAAUCUCAAAAAUUUACAAGAGAAGAUCAACAUCCAACAAAGAAAAUGAAGAUCAGCAAAGCCUUCAUAUCCACUCGAGAUGCUAUCAUCUCACACUACUUUAAACUGGGGCAGAAAUUUUAAAGAGGUCCUCAAAAUUUCCACUAAUAUAUUGAAAUAUAUUUUAAAUUCCCCAGCACUAGAGGUCGGAGUUGAAAUUUGAGAAUCACCACCUUUGAUAAAGUAUAGGAAGAUUGAAUCUCCGCCUUUGAUAAAACUUCUGAUAGAGAGCCUCGACAAUGCCGAAUCCCUAGCAAUCCUUCGUCAAAUGUCGGACAUUGUCAGAAUCAAGAGAAAGAUGGUCGUUGAGCUAGCACAUGACCUGACUGGCAGAGAUUUUCUAAUGUUUUGCAGGAGUCUCCAAAACUAUUUUCUAAAAAUUAAGACUACUUUCAAAAAUCUAUAUAAAUCUUUUACUUAGUGAUUGUCCAGACAUCAAUUAGGACGGGGAGUCAGGUGUGGAAGUCCCAACAUGAUGGAGUACCCAAAAGAUGACGUGGAGCAAAUGGAGAAUCGAAGAAAGUCAACACAGAGUAGCUUCACUCAAACUAAUCAUUUUUCUGUGGAUGCAGGGACCAAUACAUAAAAAUGAGAGUCUGUUACAAAAAUUCCCGAGUAAAUUGGGAGCCACAGUAGAGCACUAAUACUCAAGGGCGGUAUUUCUGGGUAGCCGUAAAAACGAGUUUAAUACCCAUUUAUUGAAGACCUUUUGAAUUUUCCAUCUCAUUUCUUGAGAUCAUGGAGGACAAACAAAAGUGUCUUGCCUUCUUUACAAAUAUUGUAUUUAGAAUUUUUUUUAAAAAAUAGUCGCUAGCAAAAGCGACUUUGUGUCUACUAAUCGUCUACCUUGAGUAUAGGUACAUGUAGAAAGCAAGACGCUGACAAAUGAAUUCAGGUGAAACUAUUUUUAAAUUACUGGAAGAACGAUUAUAUAUCAUUGCCAAGAGGGCCAUUGCAUAUCAUUGCCAAGAGGGCCAUUUCAUAACAUUGCCAAGAGGGCCAUUGCAUAUCAUUGCCAAGAGGAUCAUUCAAUAUCUGUUGACACGUGAGACAUAAAUGCUGGCGACGAGGCUAUCACAAGCAUUUUAUAUCUAUUGACACGCAAGACAUAAACCCUGGCAUCUAGGAUAUCAUUAGUAUUUUAUAUCUGUUGACACGCAAGACAUAAACGCUGGCGUUGAGGAUAUCUCAUCAUUUUGUGAAUCAGUAUCUGAAUGCAUCAAGAGCACACGAUUUGAAGGGACGCCUUCAAGUCGGUGUCUAAAAACGGAUGAUAUAUGAGAUUUCCUAGAAAUUGAUAACUUGAGGGUCAUCUAUAAGUCAUAUUAUUUGAAAUAGGAUAGUGUGAAAGAUCACCUAUGAGUUGAUAGCUUGUAGGUCAUUCGUAAGACGCAACAACAUCCUAACUGGAUAGUGUGCAAGAUCGCCCAAAAAUCAAUAAUUUGAAGGUUAUCCAUAAGUCGCAACUAAAUCCUUACCGGAGAAUAUGCGAGAUUAUCAAAUUGAUACAUCCAAGGGUUCUCUUUAAUCCGCGUCGUAUCCAAGAUCGAUUAUGUGCAGGAUUACCCAAGCACUAACAAUUUGAGAGAUUUCUAUAAGUCAUAUUGUAUCCAAGGUCGGAUAAUGUGCAGGAACACCUGAAAGCUAGCGAUUAGAAGGAUAUUUGUAAGCCAUCUCUUAUCCAAGGUCGGAUAACAUACAGGAUUACCUAAAAGCUAGAAAUUCAAAGGAUAUCUGUAAGUUGCCUCGUAUCCAACAUCAAAUAAUGCUCAAGAUUAUCCAAAGAUUGACAAUUUAAGGGAAAUUUAUAAAUCAUCGGCUAUAAUCGAAAAGGUUACCAUUCCACAUACAACAAGUUUUAUAGGUAACCAAAAGGGUUGCCACACUAGCACACGAUUAUACAGUUGUAGGGACCGUUCUGCAUAAAGUAACCCCGGUGUCCAAAAAGGCCACCCCACUUUAAAGACAUAUUCAACUGACAAAUGUCAUAAUUAUACAACAACCAAGAGGGUUGUUGUGUUUGUUGUUGCUAGUUAUUUCCUUUCGAAUAGGUACAUGAAGAGAUGAAUCCGCUUUUUAGGCCACAACUCAUGUGGAGAUAUGGUGCGGACGACUUCAGAUAGGACGCAACACAACGUGGAACACUUUCUUAGCAGCAAAAUGGGACAUAGUCUAGAGAGGGACGUCAAACUCUCUGGAUGCAAGCUAAAGAAUGAUCGCCACCACCAUCCAACCAUACCCCUGUUAGAAGGCAUAUGGGUAUUUUGGGAUAUUCUAAGUCUCAGCUUCCACUCUGGAAUAUUUCUUUACUCAUGCCGAGGGUAACCUUCUCUUUCUUCCAAAUUUGAGUGAUAGGACUCUUAAAGUUUUGGAAAUUAUACCCAGCUAAGUUCUUACCUAUGGGUGUGAAGGAUCCCACAUUCAUUGUUAAGAGGUUACAAGCCUCUUUUCCGAAACUCGAUUAACCUGUCACUCAUCCCGAGCCAAAGAUCGUCUAAAAUAGAAGACUAUCUUUUCUACCCCUCGAGCCGAACUACAAGCAGUCUGAUUCCCUGAAAUCUUGAGGAUAAAUAUUUGUUUAAUUUUAUCAAAUCAAGAAGCUCAAAAUUAAACAAGGUGUUAAUUCAUAUCAAAUUUCGAUUUGAUUAAGUCAAUUUAUUAAAUUUGACGCUAAUUGAAAUAAAAUUGCCCCCAAUUGUAAUACAAUUGACCAAUUGGUAUUCAAAUUGGCUAGAAUUUAAAGUAAUUUCCUAAAUUGUAAUCCAAAAUCCUCAGCCCAAUUAAAACCUAAUGACCCAGCAACCCAUUUCUUCUUACUAGCCCAACAACAAUAAUUACCUACCCAUCAGCCAUUUAGAAAAUGCCCAAUCCAUACCAAACCGAUCGGGUCAGCCCAUCAUUGCCCCUUUUCUCCUUCAACACCCGUACAAACAAGAACCUUCAGUGAACAUCAACCAAAAAGAAUCAGUGAACCAACAACAUCAAACAACAGCAGCUCCCAAAUCGACCUUCAGCAAAUAACCAGCCAAAACCCAACCAAAAUCCAUCAACUUCGCGACUCGACCCAUUAUAUUUCACCCAAAAUUUGGCAAAAAAUAGCUUCCCAACAUCGACCUGACUUCGACCUGCCUGAAUGGCGUGUGUUUGUUAUGAAAAUUCAAGAAAGUUUCUAGAAAUGAGUGAGCUGGCUCACCCCAACGUUCCAAUCCCGUGAAUCUCAGAUGAGGUUGUACAAUUUCGUACAUAGGUAGGAAAUUUUCAUUGGCUUGUGAAGAUGAUUCUAUUUUCCUAAAUUUCUAUGGGCCAUUUUUGGAAAUCCGUUCAAGAAAAUCAUCAAGGGGGUACAAUUUGUUAGCAUUCUCAUCUUUCGAAUUCAAAAGAUGAACCCUCAAACCCCCUUCUAUAAAUAGCUCUCUAUAGAGCAAGAAAGAGGGAUUUUCUUUUGAGGCCUCUUCUUUCCCUUAUGGUUUCGAAAUUUUACAAAAAAAAAGAGGGAGAGAAAUUCUUGGGUCGGGAAAAAUUUUGGUUGGGAGAAAAGAGGAGAUGAAGAGAGUUCUGAAAACAAAAUAAUUUAUUUUUGUAAAAAUUUUGUCUUUCGUUCUUCUUUCUGGGAAGAUGGUCGAUCAAUCGGAAGUUCCUGAGUCGAUAACAUCAACUCCCGGUGGUGACAGUUCUGCUGAUAGCUCGUCGUCCCGUUUGCUGUCCUUAAAGAGGUAAAUACACUCUGUUUUCCCCUUAAUUUGACCGCUUUUCUUCUUCGUCUCUUCUUCUUCGUAGUUGAUGUAGUCGUAAUUAUUCUAUUCUGGGAAUUGCUUGUUUUAGGAAGCCUUACAGUCCAUAGGACUUUAUGGGAAAUAAUUUGCAGUAGUUCCGUGCGUUUCAUCGUUUGUUUGGUGUUUGUGAUUUAUGUUUGACCGAGUUAAUUAGUGUAUGUUAAGACUAUUUUAUUGAACUUCCGGAUCUAUUUUUGUUGUUUAUUGCGGGUAAAGAAGUUAAUCCAGUAGUUUCCUUUUGCUAAUUUUUUUUCCUUUCCUUUCGGAAUAGUUGUAUUAUUCUUGCCCCUUUCUGAUUUACUUUAAGAUCCAUAAGGUUAGGAGUUUUGUAUUUUUUUGUAUUUAGCAUAAUGUCAAUGUUCUGCCUAAGGUCAUCUUUUUCAUCAUUUGUGUUGUUAUCUGCUAGAGAAGUCAAAAAUAGGACAAUAUCGACUUUGCAUGCUAUAUGCGUGGUAAAUUGUCUAAUUAAUAUGCCUGAUCUAUGGGAUGUAUUGCUACUCUUCAUACAUACAUGAUAAUAUUUUGUUUCUAUUUUAGGUCGACUGAUUUUAAACUAUAGUAGUAGUUAGACAAGGGGAGGAAGUACACUGUGUCAUGUGUGUUCUGUGCAUCUUGAAAAUAUUUCAUAUUCACAGUGUGUAAUCAUAUUAUCCCUUGUAGAUGCUCCUUUAAUUAUUUCCCCUUUGAUUAUUUAAUUGUUUAAUCAUUUUAAAUGAUUUUAUGUUAAAACGUUAGUAUAUUUCCUUCUCCUACCAUUUUAGUUUGUUUACAGGUUUUCCCUUUGUAUUAAUUUGUCAAUGGUUAUGAAUCUUUAUUGAAGUUCUAAUUUUUGUUGUACUACCAUCUCAAAAUAAAUUGUUCAAAAUCAAUUUUCUAAGUUCAUUGGUUUCAAACAUCUUUACUUUGGGGUUUCUUCAAUCGAACAUUUUCUUUUCUUCUAAUGUUUGCUCAAAAAUUUUGUACUUCCUCAACCAUUUUCAUCCCUGCUCAUAUAUAUGUAAAGGUUAUGCACGUAUGCCACGAAUGAAUUAAUAUGCUUGCUGAGUUUGUAUGUGUGGGUGAAUUCCCUGUUGCCUUUAGUCUCAGUAAAAUAUUCAUAUCGGUUCAAGUUUAUUUUUUAAAAAAAAAACUGUUACGGCAAAAUAUUGAUGGGAAUAGUGGACUCAUCAUAUUCUAAUACUUUUGCUUUAUUUAAAAUGUCAAGAUUUUAUAUCGAUUAUGAAAUUUUGGUACUGUUAGAUUUUGAAUUGAUCAACUGUGUAAACUUCUCACAUUCUAAAUAGAGAUUUGCAAACAGUGAAUUGAAUGUUUUCCUUUUAGAGUUGUUUUGCAUAUAUACAUAUGUUGGAACCCUGCAAAGUUGGUUUUAAACCUUGUCUUCAUGGUAAAAUCAAUUUUUUUUCUUUUUUUUUUCUUAUAUACUGACGACAGUCGUAUUUACCCGAAUUUACUAUGUUGUGUAUGCAUGUUUUACUUACUCUUUCCAUGUUUUGACUUAUUGACUUUUAUUUUGUUUUGGACCAUCACGGUUUUAUUUUAUCUAUCGCUCUAUUAUGUUGUUUAUCUAUGUAGUAUUUGAUAUUUUGAAUGCGUAUUGAUCUCUUUUAUUUCUUUACCUGCAUGUGAACUAGUUUUGUAGUCCGAACAGGCUCUACCCCUUGGCAUUUUUUAAUGGGCCAUUGAGGCCCAUCAUGUCCUUAGUCAAUUUCAAAAGAUUAAAUCCAAGAAUCCGCCGCCUAGCAUACGGACGCAAGGAGUUGAAAGAAGAAAAAAAUGGGUUUAAAUCCCAUAUUCGAAGUGACGAAGAGACUCAGGAGUCUCACUUUCCUUUCUUGUCAUUUUAUUUACAUAUUUAUUUUAGUCUUCUAUUUACUUAUCUAUUUAUUUCUUUAUUCAUUCAUUUGGGCCUCGAAGCGAAAAUUGUAAAGCUAAUACAGGUGGAGCAAGAUUCGAGCCAAAGGCUCAAAAACUAGACUAGGGC